rnacentral:ncRNA from 1 species
GUAAAGUUUUACUUUAGUUUAAAAAUUAGGUUUAAUUUAAUUAUACAUGUAAAUUUUAGUAUGAAAAAAUAAAAAUUUUUAAUAAAUAUUUUUGUAUUGUAAUCACAGUAUGUAAAUUUAUAAAUUAAUGAAAAUUAGAUUUAGGAAAAAUUAAUAGUAUUGACAAAUUUUGUGCCAGCAGUAGCGGUUAUACAAAUAAUACAGUUUAAUUUAAGUGAAAAUUUAUAAUAUUUGUGUAUAUAUAAAAAUUUAAAGAUAUUUUUUUUAGGUGAAAUUUGAAAAGUAUAAAAAAUUUAUUAAUAAAAAAUAUAUUUAAGAAAUUUUUUUUAUAAACUAGGAUUAGAUACCCUAUUAUUAAAAAUGUUAAAAGUUUGGAUUAGUAGUAGAUAUGAACUUGAAAAUUAAAAAAUUUGGCGGUAUUUUAGUCUAUUCAGAGGAAUCUGUUCUAUAAUUGAUAAUCCACGAGUUAUUAUACUUUUUUUAAAAAUUUAUAUAUCGUUGUAGUUAGAAUAUUUUUAGAGAAUUUUGAAUAUUCAAAAUUUAUUUUAUAAAGGAAGACAAAUCAAGACAUAGUGUAUAGAAAAGAAGAAAUGGAUUACAGUAUUAUUAAAGAAGAUUAUAAGUUGAAAAUUUGUAUGAAUAAGGAUUUGAAAGUAAUUUUAUUAAAAUUAAUAAAAUGAUUUUAGCUCUAAAAUAUGUACAUAUCGCCCGUCGCUUUCAUUUUAAAAUGAGAUAAGUCGUAACAAAGUAGGCCUACUGGAAAGUGGGCCUAGAAAGAA